CCUACGGGAGGCUGCAGUGAGGAAUAUUGGUCAAUGGACGAGAGUCUGAACCAGCCAAGUAGCGUGAAGGAUGACUGCCCUAUGGGUUGUAAACUUCUUUUAUAUGGGAAUAAAAUGUUCCACGUGUGGGAUUUUGUAUGUACCAUAUGAAUAAGGAUCGGCUAACUCCGUGCCAGCAGCCGCGGUAAUACGGAGGGUCCGAGCGUUAUCCGGAUUUAUUGGGUUUAAAGGGAGCGUAGGUGGAUUGUUAAGUCAGUUGUGAAAGUUUGCGGCUCAACCGUAAAAUUGCAGUUGAAACUGGCAGUCUUGAGUACAGUAGAGGUGGGCGGAAUUCGUGGUGUAGCGGUGAAAUGCUUAGAUAUCACGAAGAACUCCGAUUGCGAAGGCAGUUCACUGGACUGCAACUGACACUGAGGCUCGAAAGUGUGGGUAUCAAACAGGAUUAGAUACCCGUGUAGUC
rnacentral:rRNA from 1 species